rnacentral:rRNA from 1 species
UUUAAAUGUAGAUUUGGAUGCUUGAGUAGUAGUAGUUUAUGGUCUUGAAACUUAAAAAUUUUGGCGGUAUUUUAGUCUAUUCAGAGGAACCUGUUCUGUAAUCGAUAUUCCACGUUGGACCUUACUUGGGCUUGUCUAGUUUAUAUACCGUUGUUAUUGAAUAUUUCAUUAGAAUAUUAAUUUUCUUAAAUUUUAAUUAAAAUAAAUAUCAGAUCAAGGUGUAGCUUAUGCUUAAGUAGAAAUGGGUUACAAUAAAUUUAUUUAUACGGAUGUAGUUAUGAAAACCCUACUGAAGGUGGAUUUGAUAGUAAAAGUUUAUAGAUUAAAGCUUUGAUUUUAGCUCUAAAAUAUGCAC